GAGAUAGGGUGAUCAAGAAAAAGCUGCUAACUUUUAUCUUAAGCGGUUAAAUUCCGUUUAUAUCUCU
rnacentral:tRNA from 1 species